rnacentral:sRNA from 1 species
CGCCACCACCACCUCCACCGCCACCCCUUCCGGCAAAAAACCCCUCUGGGACUCUGGCAGCAAAUGCAAGGUCGAGAACGAACAAAGCAAUGAAAGCAACCCCCAAGACCUUGGAGCUUGCCAUGAUCAGCUUAUCAACUUUUGUGAAUGGUGAAAAUGAGAAAUGUGAUGGUUUAUUCUGAUUGGAACGUAAGGAGUUUGAGGCACGAAAAGGGUAUAUAUAGAGUUUGCAAUGUAGAAAAAAGAGGAUUCCUUAUAGUGCUGCCGCCAUUGCACUUCCACUCCCAC